rnacentral:rRNA from 1 species
GACGAACGCUGGCGGCGUGCUUAACACAUGCAAGUCGAACGGAAAGGCCCUGCUUUUGUGGGGUGCUCGAGUGGCGAACGGGUGAGUAACACGUGAGUAACCUGCCCUUGACUUUGGGAUAACUUCAGGAAACUGGGGCUAAUACCGGAUAGGAGCUCCUGCUGCAUGGUGGGGGUUGGAAAGUUUCGGCGGUUGGGGAUGGACUCGCGGCUUAUCAGCUUGUUGGUGGGGUAGUGGCUUACCAAGGCUUUGACGGGUAGCCGGCCUGAGAGGGUGACCGGCCACAUUGGGACUGAGAUACGGCCCAGACUCCUACGGGAGGCAGCAGUGGGGAAUAUUGCACAAUGGGCGGAAGCCUGAUGCAGCAACGCCGCGUGCGGGAUGACGGCCUUCGGGUUGUAAACCGCUUUCGCCUGUGACGAAGCGUGAGUGACGGUAAUUGGGUAAAGAAGCACCGGCUAACUACGUG